rnacentral:rRNA from 1 species
GACGAACGCUGGCGGCGUGCUUAACACAUGCAAGUCGAACGGAAAGGCCCUGCUUUUGCGGGGUGCUCGAGUGGCGAACGGGUGAGUAACACGUGAGUAACCUGCCCUUGACUUUGGGAUAACUUCAGGAAACUGGGGCUCAUACCGGAUAUGAGCUCCUGCUGCAUGGUGGGGGUUGGAAAGUUUCGGCGGUUGGGGAUGGACUCGCGGCUUAUCAGCUUGUUGGUGGGGUAGUGGCUUACCAAGGCUUUGACGGGUAGCCGGCCUGAGAGGGUGAACGGCCACAUUGGGACUGAGAUACGGCCCAGAAGCCUACGGGAGGCAGCAGGGGGGAAUAUUGCACAAUGGGCGGAAGCCUGAUGCAGAAACGCCGCGUGCGGGAUGACGGCCUUCGGGUUGUAAACCGAUUUCGCCUGUGACGAAGCGUGAGUGACGGUAAUGGGUAAAGAAGCACCGGCUAACUACGUG